GAUGAACGCUAGCGGCAGGCUUAAUACAUGCAAGUCGAGGGGCAUCAAGGUACACGAAAGUGUAUUGUUGGCGACCGGCGGACGGGUGAGUAAUAGGUAGGUAACCUACCUCAUACUGAGGCAUAGCUGGGAGAAAUUCCAGGUAAUUCCUCAUGAGGUUAUAUGACACAUGUGAUAUAAUCAAAGGUAUCGCAAGGUACUGGUAUGAGAUGGGCUUACUGACCAUUAGCUAGUUGGUGAGAUAAGAGCUCACCAAGGCGAAGAUGGUUAGGGGUUUUGAGAGAGAGAUCCCCACAUUGGAACUGAGAUACGGUCCAGACUCCUACGGGAGGCAGCAGUAGGGAAUAUUGGGCAAUGGGGAAACCCUGAUGCAGCGACGCCGCGUGAAGGAAGAAGGCCCUCGGGUUGUAAAUUUCUUUGACCAGGGACGAAGAAAGUGACGGUACCUGGAGAACAAGCCACGGCUAACUACGUGCCAGCAGCCGCGGUAAU
rnacentral:rRNA from 1 species